GACGAACUCUGGCGGCGUGCUUAACACAUGCAAGUCGAACGCUGAAGCCCAGCUUGCUGGGUGGAUGAGUGGCGAACGGGUGAGUAACACGUGGGUAACCUGCCCAUAAGACUGGGAUAACUCCGGGAAACCGGGGCUAAUACCGGAUAACAUUUUGAACCGCAUGGUUCGAAAUUGAAAGGCGGCUUCGGCUGUCACUUAUGGAUGGACCCGCGUCGCAUUAGCUAGUUGGUGAGGUAACGGCUCACCAAGGCAACGAUGCGUAGCCGACCUGAGAGGGUGAUCGGCCACACUGGAACUGAGACACGGUCCAGACUCCUACGGGAGGCAGCAGUAGGGAAUCUUCCGCAAUGGGCGAAAGCCUGACGGAGCAACGCCGCGUGAGUGAUGAAGGUCUUCGGAUCGUAAAACUCUGUUAUUAGGGAAGAACAUAUGUGUAAGUAACUGUGCACAUCUUGACGGUACCUAAUCAGAAAGCCACGGCUAACUACGUGCCAGCAGCCGCGGUAAUACGUAGGUGGCAAGCGUUAUCCGGAAUUAUUGGGCGUAAAGCGCGCGUAGGCGGUUUUUUAAGUCUGAUGUGAAAGCCCACGGCUCAACCGUGGAGGGUCAUUGGAAACUGGAAAACUUGAGUGCAGAAGAGGAAAGUGGAAUUCCAUGUGUAGCGGUGAAAUGCGCAGAGAUAUGGAGGAACACCAGUGGCGAAGGCGACUUUCUGGUCUGUAACUGACGCUGAUGUGCGAAAGCGUGGGGAUCAAACAGGAUUAGAUACCCUGGUAGUCCACGCCGUAAACGAUGAGUGCUAAGUGUUAGGGGGUUUCCGCCCCUUAGUGCUGCAGCUAACGCAUUAAGCACUCCGCCUGGGGAGUACGACCGCAAGGUUGAAACUCAAAGGAAUUGACGGGGACCCGCACAAGCGGUGGAGCAUGUGGUUUAAUUCGAAGCAACGCGAAGAACCUUACCAAAUCUUGACAUCCUUUGACAACUCUAGAGAUAGAGCUUUCCCCUUCGGGGGACAAAGUGACAGGUGGUGCAUGGUUGUCGUCAGCUCGUGUCGUGAGAUGCUGGGUUAAGUCCCGCAACGAGCGCAACCCUUAAGCUUAGUUGCCAUCAUUAAGUUGGGCACUCUAAGUUGACUGCCGGUGACAAACCGGAGGAAGGUGGGGAUGACGUCAAAUCAUCAUGCCCCUUAUGAUUUGGGCUACACACGUGCUACAAUGGACAAUACAAAGGGCAGCGAAACCGUGAGGUCAAGCAAAUCCCAUAAAGUUGUUCUCAGUUCGGAUUGUAGUCUGCAACUCGACUACAUGAAGCUGGAAUCGCUAGUAAUCGUAGAUCAGCAUGCUACGGUGAAUACGUUCCCGGGUCU
rnacentral:rRNA from 1 species